rnacentral:lncRNA from 10 species
CUUAAAAUUGGGUUUUAUUUUGUUUAUCUUUUCCACAUCCCAUAUGUAGCCAUUUUCUAGGAAAAAAUUACACUGAUAGCAACAAAAUAAUUUUUCAAAAUGUAUAUAAGAAACAGUGCAAUGUAAGACAUGUAGAAGAGAGCCAGAAUAUGCCUUGGUGGAUUGAUGAGAAUGCUAAGCAACGAAAGACAUUCAUGCUGCAAUCUAUACAACUAAGCAGCCUGAAACCUCCUCCAUUAUUCAAGUUUGAAUUCAGAAAGAAGACAAUGGCCUUAUUCAGCUCCAGUCAAUCCUAGUGUUAUGCAUUGAAUUAUUUCCCCCUAAAAGUUGUUGACAUGCUAACUCCCAAUACCUGCAAAUGUAACUUUACUUGAAAAUAGGGUCUUUGCUAAUGAUCAGGUUAACAUGGGGUCAUUAAGGAGUGCCCUAAUCCAAUAGGACUGUGGACUGUGUCCUUAUUAAAAGGGGGAAAUUUGCACACAGAAGAAGAUACACACACACAGGGAGAAUGUGAUGUGGAUAUCAAUGCAGAAAUUGGGGUGACGCAUCUAAAGCCAAAGAAUCCCGAAGAUCGACAGAAAAUCCCCAGGAGCUAGGAAAGAGACAUGAAACAGAUUCUCCCUUACAGGCUUCAGAAGGAACCAAAUCUGCCAGCACCUUGCUCUUGGACUUCUAGCCACCGGAACUAUAAGGAAAUGGAGACACAGAAUGCUAACCAACUUGCUCAAGGCCUCACACACAGACAUUUAGUCACACCUCUGAUAAGUCAGGAGCCAGGAUUUGAGCCCCAAUAAUGGAUCCAGAAGACUAACAAUCUCCAGAAACGGAACCCAUUCUGUACUCUGACAACACCGGACACUGAUGUGAAAGAUUAAAUCUAUGCUGGUAAGAAGAACUACAAGAGCUUUGAUUCAACAUUUUAUGCAGGCCUAGAUAAUUAUUUGUUGUAGGGAGACUGUUCUGUGUGCUAUCACAUGGUUAAUGGUGUCUCUCUGGUCUCUACUCACUAGAUGUCUCAUAUCCCAAGUUGUGACAAUCAUAGGUGUCUUCAGACAUUACCAAUGUCUUCUUGGGGGAAGGAGACAGAGGAGCAAAAUCACUCCCAGUUGAGAAUCAGUGACUUAAUGUACUACAAUAAAACUCAUUAUUCCACAGUGUAGCACUUUUUUCAAAGCCCAGUGAAAUUAUGGUAUCAUUUCUCAAAGUUAUUUACAGAAGUUCCUCAAAUACUUUUAUUCAGCAUUUCCAUGGGGACUUGUUUGCAGCUACCCCUAAAGAUGAGAUUGUUCUAGAAGUGGGUAGAGACUGAGAGGGGAGGUAAAAUAGCAAAAAUGACAAAAGAAGACAUGAGGUGUUUAAUCACCCUCUUUUUCUUAGGUCAGGGCUAUGCUGCCUAGGGCCCUUGUGUUUCCCUAGAUUUGAAACAUCAACAGACUGCAGGGCCCUCUGGGCAUAUCACAGCUUCUGCCAUGGCUCCUAGAAGCCUUUGAAGCUGACAAAAAAAGGAUGGAAGCCACUCUCAUCUGCACAUGCUAUUUUUGCAUAUGAUGCUCCCUCUGCCUGGAACACUUCACUUCCACCUUCCCUUCAUCACUUUCAGUGGUAACCCCCAGGCCUAUUUCCUUGGUAAACGUUACCUUCAGAAAUAAUCAUGUUUGUUCAUUGACUUAUCUGCUGAAUGUCUGACUUCUUCACCACUCCCCAGUUAUCGCUAGAACGGAAGCUCAAUGGAGCAGUGACCCAUAACUCUAUUUCUAAUUCCUAGAGAAAAACAUGACUGAUGCAUAAUAUAUGUUCAAUAAAUAUGUGUUGAAUUAAUUCACUAAUCCUAGACCCUACCUUAUACUAUUUAAGCUUUUUACAUGUCUCUCUCUGAACCACAGACAAACCAUUCAUGAAAUGAUCUUUAUGGGGAAGGCAUGACAAGAGUCAAAAGGAAGAGUCUUAAGAGAUGAGUCGCUGAACAUCAUACUAUUGUAAGCCUGAAGGGGUGGUUUGGUUUAGGCAGCCCAGUAACCCUGGAAAAGACUUGCAGACAAACUGUUGUCUGUGUACCAAGAUCUUCCUAUCCUAGUGUGGGAACAUUAGUCUCUAUGUGACUCAGCAACUUUUUGCUCCUACUGUGCACUCCACCCUUGUUAUUCCUUCUUGUGAAGAUAUCUUGGGACUUUGCCCAACUGACUCCGUGCUCACACUUCAUUGUUUUGUCCUCUCUUCUUUCUCAUUCAGGAGCUCUCUUGGGAAUAGAAGAUUUCAUGUGGGAUGAAGAGAAACACAAAUGUAAUAGAAAAACAAAACUGGGAAAGGAAAAAAAUGUUUUUGAGUGAAACUAUGAAGUGACUAUAGGUUGAUUCAUCAGUAGAAACAUAUGGAAACACUUAUCUCAAAAUUCAGUAGUUAUGAAACUUGAAACCCGCUUCAAUAUUUUAUUCAGAGUUAUGUAUUUGACCUUCAGGAAUUCCAUGUUAAGUUUCUGCUCAAAGACCAAGGAAACAUCUAAUUGAUUGAUCAAAAGGUUCAUAAUUAGAUCCAUUUUUUUCCUGAAUCCAUAUUGGAGAAACAAGAAAUAGAUGACCUAAAAAAAAUCCUUGAGUGGAUGUCUCACCAGCCAGGAAAAUUCCAAAUAAAGUUUGCUUUGUGUCCAAGGGCUGAAAUGAGGUGACUGUAAUAGAAGUGAUAGCAGGGAGCAGGUUGCUAUUCUGACCUUGGUCUGCUCAGACUGCUGUAAGCAUGGCCAUCAUUAUACAGAAGGUCCAGUCACAUCACGUGGGCAGAAACUAGACAUUAACUUCAAGUUUUCUUUCCAGUUUUUAUUUCUAAUAUGCCAUUCUUCUCCUGGUAUAAUGACAUAAUAGCACAUGAAUGGACUUUACUUGGCAAACCAAUGAUUCCAAAAAUUAUUUUCAAAAGUUACACAGUAACCAUAACCACAGUGUUCCAUCACCAGGACAAUAUAACUUCAAGUCUCUUUGGCAACUCCAUGAGGGGAGGGGGAGGAUGAAGGAGUAAUCACCUUGUUCUGCAGUUUCCUAGUCAGGCACCUAAUAUUCUCAUUCUACUCAGUCUGUCUGUCUCUCAUUCUCUCUCUCUCUCUCUCUCUCUGUCUCCUCUCUCCUCUUCCUCUCUGAUCAAAUGAGUUACUCUUGCCUCCUCUAAGGUCUUUAGAUUCUGUUGCGAUCAGAAAACAGGCUUUGGAAUCUCUGCUUCAGUACCUUCAUCUGAAUAUUAAAAAAAGGAGCAAAGUACCAACUGUCAGCCUAUGUUUAUAAAGCAAACUAUCUGAGAAAAUAAUAGAAGUUUAUUGACAUAGACAAAACAGGCUACAUAUAGUGGCUCUGAUAUAUUAAAUAUUUUUAUAGUGUACUCAUAUUUAAACAUAGUCAACCAAAAGCCAAAGGUCUUAUUAAUUAAGCAAAAAUCAGAAAGCAUAUUAUUAAAUUUUAGUGUGACAAACACCAUAACACAGGAAGGUACCACAGGGAUGAGAUUCAGAGGAUUAAUUGGGCAAAGAGAUCUAGAAAUAAACUUUAUUUAUUUAUUUAUUUAUUUAUUUAUUUUGAGAUGGAGGCUUGCUCUGUCGCCCAGGCUGGAGUGCAGUGGCGCGAUCUUGUCUCACUGCAACAUCUGCCUCUCAGGUUCAAGCAAUU